UACAGAGGUCUCGAGCGUUAGGCGGAAUCACUGGGCUUAAAGCGUGUGUAGGCGGAUCCGUAAGUACCUUGUGAAAUCCCACAGCUUAACUGUGGAACUGCUUGGUAUACUGCGGGUCUUGAGCCACUCAGGGGCGAGCGGAACAAAUGGUGGAGCGGUGAAAUGCGUAGAUAUCAUUUGGAACGCCAAUGGUGAAAACAGCUCGCUGGGGGUGUGCUGACGCUGAGACACGAAAGCCAGGGGAGCGAACGGG
rnacentral:rRNA from 1 species